CCUACGGGUGGCAGCAGUGAGGAAUAUUGGUCAAUGGGCGCGAGCCUGAACCAGCCACGCCGCGUGAGGGAAGAAGGUCCUCUGGAUUGUAAACCUCUUUUGUCGGGGAGCAAAAGACGCCACGCGUGGCGGUCCGAGAGUACCCGAAGAACAAGCAUCGGCUAACUCCGUGCCAGCAGCCGCGGUAAUACGGGGGAUGCGCGCGUUAUCCGGAUUUAUUGGGGUAACGGGGUGCGCAGGCGGAAGAUAAAGUCAGCGGUAAAAUUAAGGGGCUCAACCUCGUCGAGCCGUUGAAACUGGAUGUCUUGAGUGAGGGAGAAGUAUGCGGAAUGCGUGGUGGAGCGGUGAAAUGCAUAGAUAUCACGCAGAACGCCGAUUGCGAAGGCAGCAUGCCGGCGCUCAACUGACGCUCAGGCACGAAAGCGUGGGGAUCGAACAGGAUUAGAUACCCCGGUAGUC
rnacentral:rRNA from 1 species